rnacentral:rRNA from 1 species
CAAUAGCGUAUAUUUAAGUUGUUGCAGUUAAAAAGCUCGUAGUUGGAUUUCGGUUAAGAGCGACCGGUCCGCCGUUUGGUGUGCACUGGUUGGUUUUAACUUCCUGUAGAGGACGUGCUCUGGGUUUAACGACCUGGACUCGGAGUCUACGUGGUUACUUUGAAAAAAUUAGAGUGUUCAAAGCGGGCUUACGCUUGAAUAUUUCAGCAUGGAAUAACACUAUAGGACUCCUGUCCUAUUUGGUUGGUCUCGGGACGGGAGUAAUGAUUAAGAGGAACAGUUGGGGGCAUUCGUAUUUCAUUGUCAGAGGUGAAAUUCUUGGAUUUAUGAAAGACGAACUUCUGCGAAAGCAUUUGCCAAGGAUGUUUUCAUUAA